UGUCUCCUGAGGUGUUUGAGAGCUGGUUAAGUCCCUCGAGCCUAUAUCCUUCUAAACGGGAGUGUCACUUUGAUGUUGUGUGCAUGUCCGCUUGCCGGAAAGCCUAAUAUGUCAGAAACUGCUCCCUCUCUGAACCUCACGGUUCAGGGCCAGAACCAGUAAACGGCACCUUGGGAGACCC
rnacentral:other from 1 species